UAGCACGAGAGCAAGCCCCGACAUACUGCAAGUACGACGUGACAAAUUUGUGGAAAAAGCAUCGCUCGAAAGUUCCAAAAGAGUGUUCUUUAUAGCCAUUUAAUAUCUUUUUUAAGAAAUUUUCAAAGAAUUCAAAAACUUGAAUAACGUUGUUGAGAAGCUCUUUCAGAAUAUUCAUGUUCCUUGUUAGCAACUUCUUGUGCUAAAGAGUUGAUCUACAUUGCAAUAAUAACAAUUCGUAAAAAUACAAAACAUUGUCGUCGUAUUACUUGAUUUUUUUGUCUUUGUCUUCUUGACGAUGUUAACGCAAUAUUAAAGCAAUUGACUCCUGCAGCAAAAUUAUUUUGUGGCUUUAA